AAUAUUGCGCAAUGGAGGGAACUCUGACGCAGCAACGCCGCGUGAGCGAAGAAGGCCUUCGGGUCGUAAAGCUCUGUCAUAUGGGACGAAAAAAAUGACGGUACCAUAAGAGGAAGCCACGGCUAACUACGUGCCAGCAGCCGCGGUAAUACGUAGGGGGCAAGCGUUGUCCGGAAUCAUUGGGCGUAAAGGGCGUGUAGGCGGUUAACUAAGUCAGCUGUGAAAACCCAGGGCUUAACCUUGGGACUGCAGUUGAAACUGAUUAACUUGAGGGCAAGAGAGGAAAGUGGAAUUCCUAGUGUAGCGGUGAAAUGCGUAGAUAUUAGGAGGAACACCAGUGGCGAAGGCGACUUUCUGGCUUGACCCUGACGCUGAGGCGCGAAAGCGUGGGGAGCAAAC
rnacentral:rRNA from 1 species